AGAAAAUCUUCCUAAAAAAGUUCUACGACGUAACCUACGAAAAUUAGCCAGACGUUGCCCGUGCGUUGCGAACGAGCGAGCGAAGCCUUUGCCCUCGAGCGACGCCACACCAGAUCCUUCGCCCUCGCAGCCGCCGCCGACCCCCUCCCUCAAACGCCGCCUCCCGUCGCGGCCGCCCCCGCCACCUCCCGUCGCGGCCGCCCCCGCCACCUCCCGUCCGGCCUGCCCGGCCAUGGCAACACCGUCGGCGGACUCCUCCUCCCCCUCACCUUCUCUCCCUCUCCCAAGGGAGGGAAGGGAAUGGAAGGGGUCCGGCGGCAAGGGGAGGCAGCGCCCAGAUCCGCAGCCGCACCGGCUGCAACCAUGGAGGUCCGACCCGGCUGCAGCCAUGGACUGAGACGUCCGAAACCCUAGCUACCCGUGGAGGUCCGACGCCUCAACCUCCAAGGAAAGGACGCGCGUUGGCUGCAGGCCAUCUCCGGCGACCUCCGACCAUGGUUGCUCGGAUCUGGACCAGCUGCUGCUCCUACUGCUUCAGGUGAACGAGGACGAGCCCUCCCUCAUGGCUGCUGCGGCUGCCUACUCCCUCCUCCUACCCCCUGGCCUGGUGUGUGAACAAAGGAAGCCUUGCGCCAAGGAGAAGCGGGCGUGGUGUUCGACUAGGCCAAAGAGAGGACAGGAGAGGACCACAGAGAGCAAAGGAGAGGAUAGAGUCAGAGCGCCGUCAGUCAGCCGUGGGUAAAUCCGGUCAUGCUGCUUCAGGUUCAGGGUCUGCCUUGCUAUGAUACAAUGCGGGAGGAGAUCAACAUGUAGAGCAAGGUCUCCUGGUCCAAGUCCCCUGUCAGGAUGUGGUUCAACAUCAAGGGCAAGGCGCAGGAUUUCCAUGCGGAUAACGAUGCUACUACCCAAGGAUGGGACGAAGGUGAUUAACGGAGGACCAGCUGCUUGUAGAGGGACACAGGCGCUGCCAAGAAAAGCAGAAUUGAACGGUCGUUGAAGCGAAAUAUCGAUCAUGUUCGUAGAUCAGGGAAUGAAUUUGAUGUGUCACGCCUGACAAAAGCCCAAGAUUACAGAAUCUUUGUGUCGACGUGGAAUGUUGGUGGCCAAUGCCCAUCAAGGGGGUUAAAUUUAGAUGACUGACUCCAUUCUUCACCCCCUGCUGAUAUCUAUGUGCUCGGAUAUCACUUAUUACGAGGACACUAAACAAGAACGCUGGGUCUAGCAUUCAUGCUGGCUAUCACACGCCAUUCCCUGUCCCUGAUCCGGUUGUGGAACUAGAUGCUGAUUUUAAGGAAAUGAUAUGUUCUCACAACCAAUAUUGGCCCGUAGGUUUAUUGUGUGCAACCCUGUUAACAUAGGAGUCAGGCCGAGCGAUUUUGAUAGAAAUUUCAAGUGUAUCGGAUCACCAGUCGAUGAGUAUAUUGAGGAGGAUACAAGUAAUGGAGCAUAUUUUUCACCAUUCCCAUAGGCUAUGGUACUUAAACACCUAUGGAAAAAGAUGAAGAGCAGCCAAAUACUUCUAGGUGUCCAGGUAUUGUUUGGUUGCCAGCAAACAGAUGGUUGGCAGAUUUCUCACAGUUUGGGUACCAGGUAUAUAACCAAUUAACUCUGAAGAGAUGAAAAUACAAAUUAGUGUGGUAUAUUGCCGGUUCUUUAUCUUAUGCUUGUCCAUGUGCUUUUUUCCCCUUGGUUGAUUAUGGACCACAUCAAACUUCUAAAUUAUAAACUAGAUAUCAUGUUCAGCGUAAUUCGGCACUAAUUUUCUGGUGUGCUAUUUCCCAUGUCCAUCUUACUAUCCAGCUGCUUGCUUGUGGUAAUUCUGCAAACACUAGAAAAAAAAUCAAAUUUAUAGGUUGUUCAUCCACCUUAUAAUGUUAAUUGGAGAUAAGACCACAGGAACAGUUUGAGGCACAUCACAUAAUUAUUCUGUAUGAACUGCCCUAAAACUAAUCAUAUUUACAUUUGUAGGGGCUAGCUUUGCUGAUGUAUAUGCCGACAUGAUAAACUUGAUAUACAUGCAUACUUUAAUGUCAAUUGGAGAUAAGCUCAUAGUCUGGGGUGCAUCACAUAAUUACUAUGUAUGAACUGUCCUAGAACUAAUCACAUGUACACUUGUAGGCUUCAGAGUGUUGUUUCUGAAGAACCACAUUCAAGUCAUUAAAUUGAUUUUAUGAAGAGAUUCUCUCAGUUCUUGCAUAUUCGAUGUUUCAUGUUUGGCCUGCUUGGUAGCAACAUAGAUUCUCUACAACGUGCUAAUGACUUAUGGGAUGAUACCAUCAUCAUAUUGUCAGGUCAUAUACCUCCUAUCUUUUAUGCAAUCUUGAAGUUUAUUUACAAGGAUACAAUGCAUGUUUUCCUGAUCGAGUGAUCACUCGAUUAUGUGUUCAACCGAGAUCUGGAAAUUAGGGUGAAAGGGUCAGUACUUACACAUAGGGUUAUAACUAUAGCCAAGGAUAUAUUCAACAUAUAUAAUUUCAAGAAAAUACCAAGGUAUCCAUUUAGUUCUACCAAUCCCAUUUGCCUCAUAAUUGUUUUUGAAAUGUUUUAACAAAAUCAAUUCAAAACUUUUCCUUAUUAGUCCGCACCAAUUUUAGAUUUUAAAGUGCCUAAUUUUAAUCAAUAAGGAUCAUGACAUUGCAAGGCUUGAAUUUUUAGACUAUGUUCAGUUUCUAUGCCAAGCUGGAAAUUUGAAGAUAAAAGUUAAGGUGUACUUCAGGUGUCAACUAUCAAUACUAAAAAAAGAGCCUUCAUUUUUCCAUUGGCUACGACAUCAAACAUGUGUAUCCUACCAUGUAGGAGUACUUGUUCCAAUUCAUGGCUUUCAUCUUUCAUGCGUGUGUCUUCAAAGUUUAUAGGCAAUUACCACACAUAACUAACCAAGCCCCUCAUCAUGCUCGUGGUUAGUCAUUUUAAAACCUUUCUCUUUUAUCUGUUGUGUGCUCAUUGAGCUAUUCUAUCAUGCUUGUCGUUUGUUGUCAAGGUGAGUUGAGGCAGACAGCAAGGGCUGAGGUUGAAAAAUAAAUUGCCAUUGUGAUGCUAAGCAAAAUAUCAGGUUCUAAUUAGUGGAGGACUACAAAGUUAAAGAGGUCUUGAUGAGAUGAUUGACAUGACAUGAAUAGUUAAUUUGACGUGUAUCAUGGGCACUUCUUCAUUAUUCAGUUGCCUCGCUUGAAUUUGUGGACCAACUGGUGGGCAUAGUUCAGUUUUCACAGAUAGCGAAAGCUGCAAAACUGGGUGUGCUAGAUUUUGUUCAAAGUGCAAACUUUUAUUUGAUAAAGCCGGUCAAGUUUACUUGUGUACAUCAAUGCAGUACCAACUGUAAAAGAGUUACAACACAAGGUGAAGAGUCUCCUUUUUGUAUUACACUGGGAUUGAACCCGCAUGUUGCUAGGGCAACCCUCUUUUAUUUUGGUCUUUAACUCUAUUUUCUGGUGUAUCUUUGUUUAUUGAAAAUAGUUGUUGCCCUGCCCUCGACAAUUUGCAGUGUGUGCAUGACAUCUUAUAUACACUAUGGCCCUGUUUGGUUCAGCUUUUAUCGACGGAUUCCGCUGCCGCGCAGCAGAAUCUGAACCAAAGGGCAAACCCAGCAGAAUCUGAUUCCAGAAAUUCGCUGCCAAAAUUUGAACCAAAAGCGGAAGCAGCCCAGGACGUGCUUUCCAAAAUCUGAUUUGGAUGCGGGCAAAAAUCUGAAAAAACUGUAUCAGCUGGUUUGUCAAAUGACCUACAUCUUUUUCACAACUGCUUUUAGAAAUCCACAACCGAACCAAACAGGGCCUAUGGCUGGCUAAUUUAGAUAAUUACCACCUAUGACCACUAUCUUGCCUAUUUUUCUUGUGAUGGCAACCAUAAGUAGAGGGUUCAGCAAGGCAUUGAGAGAGACAGGUGGCAACUUCUCUACAUGUAAAAAAACUAUAGAUAGAGGGGGGGGGGAUAGACUUCUAGAAUUUACGCCAGGUUAAGACAAGCAAAUUUCAAAAUAUAAAAGCGUAUGAUUACGUGUGGACGUGAUGGUGGAAGGGAACUCGAGAAUUAGAAAGGUGGAGAUAGUGGGUGAAGAAGUAUGUCUCAUUAUCAUCAGAAUAUGAAUAUGCUCGCAUUUAGCGUCUCACCAAUGAAUAUAUAUUAUAUGCGAGCUUAUUUAUCCCCUCAAAAAAAUAUGACCUUAUUUUUAUUUUAAUAUUGUUUAUACAUGUCCACUUUUGAGAUCAGAGAUGAAAACUAAUGGCUUCCAAUGAUGCUUUGAAAAUGCCGAUUGACAAAGCUUUAUGAAGAACCGGACUGAAAAAUUGUCUUGUUUUAACAAUCAGAAGAGAUGCAUACACAUAAUUAUUCUUUAUAUAUUUCUUGUGCAUGAUAAUACAAAAGGUGUGUUUCUAUAUAUAUUUGUUUUUGCAGAGUAUCAGAGAGAUGAAGAUGGAUUACGAUAUUCAAAUAGAAUUCAUUGACAAGGGUGUUCAGGCUAUGUUGUUGAAAUGGGUCAAAAGUCCACUAAGUUUUAUACAACAAAAGGCCCGUGACAACGCACGGUCAUGUCACACACACUGAUGAAUUAUUGGCAUGGGAUAAUCUCUAGCUAGCGAGCACCUAGCCUGUUUGCUCCAUAAAGCACAUCUGCACAUAUAUUUUGUACUGAGCUCGAUAAAAAAUAACCUAAGAAAAAUAUGUCGUUCUUCUCUACAAUGGUUGCGUGUGGAAUUUGAGGAGAAUCUGUGCACCAACAUCCGGCUGCUUGAUGUUGCUCUGAUCAUAUUGUGUAAAUAUAUUUCUAAUAAAGCAAUCGCCCCAUGGUGUACAUGUUAGAAAUAACAAGAUGUAAUCAUCAAGUGUGAGAGAUGGCAACAUCAUGAUGGGAUGGUAUGUACUGUUAUGCUCAUCAAUAGAUUAGUCUUUCGUUCUCUUGUAGACAAAUGUUUUUUGUUAUGCAAACAAUUAGGAAAUAUCUAAUUUCUAUGUACGUCCAAAUAUAUAUAAGUGGUUGUUGUUAACACUGAGUUUGGAUUUGUUAAUGGUCGCUGCAUUUGGUC